AAAAAUUUAGUUAAAUUAUAACAUUAGCUUGUCAAGCUGAAAUUAUUUAUUAAAAAUAAUUUUUA